rnacentral:rRNA from 1 species
GAUGAACGCUGGCGGCGUGCCUAAUACAUGCAAGUCGAGCGAACAGACGAGGAGCUUGCUCCUCUGACGUUAGCGGCGGACGGGUGAGUAACACGUGGAUAACCUACCUAUAAGACUGGGAUAACUUCGGGAAACCGGAGCUAAUACCGGAUAAUAUAUUGAACCGCAUGGUUCAAUAGUGAAAGACGGUUUUGCUGUCACUUAUAGAUGGAUCCGCGCCGCAUUAGCUAGUUGGUAAGGUAACGGCUUACCAAGGCAACGAUGCGUAGCCGACCUGAGAGAGUGAUCGGCCACACUGGAACUGAGACACAGUCCAGACUCCUACGGGAGGAAGCAGUAGGGAAUCUUCCGCAAUGGGCGAAAGCCUGACGGAGCAGCGCCGCGUGAGUGAUGAAGGUCUUCGGAUCGUAAAACUCUGUUAUUAGGGAAGAACAAAUGUGUAAGUAACUAUGCACGUCUUGACGGUACCUAAUCAGAAAGCCACGGCUAACUACGUG